GUCCCGAUGGUGUAGCGGAUAGCAUUGGACCCUCCGAAGGUCCAGGCCCUGGUUCAAGUCCAGGUCGGGAUA
rnacentral:tRNA from 1 species